AAGUCGUAACAAGGUARCCGUACCAAAGAAAUUGACGGGGCCCCGCACAAGCGGGCGGAGCAUGCGGAAUUAAUUUCGAUGCACCGCGAAAGACCUUACCAAGACUUGACAUAUUCGAGAACGCUGCAGAAAUGUAGAACUCUUUGGGCACUCGUUUACAGGUGGGCCAUGGUGUCGUCAGCUCGUGUCGUGAGAUGUGGGUUAAGUCCCGCAACGAGCGCAACCCUCGUCGUAUGUUGCCAGCACGUAAUGGUGGAAACUCAUAUGAGACUGCCGGGGUCAACUCGGAGGAAAGGUGGGGAUGAGGUCAAAUCAUCAUGCCCCCUUAUGUCUUGGGCUUCACGCAUGCUACAAUGGCCGGUACAAAGGGCUGCGAUACCGCAAGGUGCAGCGAAUCCCAAAAAGCCGGUCUCAGUUCGGAUUGAGGUCUGCAACUCGACCCCAUGAAGUCGGAGUCGCUAGUAAUCGUGAAUCAGCAACGUCACGGUGAAUACGUUCCCGGGCCUUGUACACACCGCCCGUCAAGUCAUGAAAGUCGGUAACACCCGAAGCCAGUGGCCCAACCGCAAGGAGGGAGCUGUCGAAGGUGGGAUCGGUGGAGAGAACUAAGUCGUAACAAGGUAUCCGUAGAUCGAGUGGAGAGA
rnacentral:rRNA from 1 species